rnacentral:rRNA from 1 species
AAUUGCAGAAUCCCGUGAACCAUCGAGUUUUUGAACGCAAGUUGCGCCCGAAGCCAUUAGGCCGAGGGCACAUCUGCCUGGGCGUCACGCAUCGUCGCCACCCCCAUCGCACGCACGCGUGCCUUGAGCGGGUGACGGAAAUUGGCCUCCCGUGCCCUGCGCGGUUGGCCUAAAACCAAAUCCUCUGCUCGGGAGAGUCACGACAAGUGGUGGUUGAAACCCUCAACUCGAUCGAAGUCGCGGUCNGGAACGAGCAAGGGAGACCNAAAGACCCCGGAGCCUACGGGCCCCUCGACCAUGACCCCAGGUCAGGUGG